CAAGGUUUCCGUAGGUGAACCUGCGGAGGGAUCAUUACAAGUGACCCCGGUCUAACCACCGGGAUGUUCAUAACCCUUUGUUGUCCGACUCUGUUGCCUCCGGGGCGACCCUGCCUUCGGGCGGGGGCUCCGGGUGGACACUUCAAACUCUUGCGUAACUUUGCAGUCUGAGUAAACUUAAUUAAUAAAUUAAAACUUUUAACAACGGAUCUCUUGGUUCUGGCAUCGAUGAAGAACGCAGCGAA
rnacentral:misc_RNA from 1 species